rnacentral:rRNA from 1 species
CCCUUAGAUGUUCUGGGCUGCACGCGCGCUACACUGAUGCGCUCAACGAGUUUUAACCUUGCCUGGAAAGGUUGGGUAAUCUUUUUAAAACGCAUCGUGAUGGGGAUAGAUUAUUGCAAUUAUUAAUCUUCAACGAGGAAUUCCUAGUAAGCGCGAGUCAUCAGCUCGUGCUGAUUACGUCCCUGCCCUUUGUACACACCGCCCGUCGCUCCUACUGAUUGAGUGAUCCGGUGAAUAAUUCGGACUGCGGCAUUGACCGGUUCCCGAUCGUUGCUGCGGAAAGUUUAGUGAACCUUAUCACUUAGAGGAAGGAGAAGUCGUAACA